rnacentral:rRNA from 1 species
UACGUAGGGGGCGAGCGUUGUCCGGAAUGAUUGGGCGUAAAGGGCGCGCAGGCGGCCUGUCAAGUCAGUAGUGGAAGUCCAUUUUUCAAGGAUGGAAGUGCUAUAGAAACUGAUGGGCUUGAGUGCAGGAGAGGUUAUCGGAAUUCCCGGUGUAGCGGUGAAAUGCGUAGAGAUCGGGAGGAACACCAGUGGCGAAGGCGGGUAACUGGACUGCAACUGACGCUGAGGCGCGAAAGUGUGGGGAGCAAACAGGAUUAGAUACC